GAUGAACGCUAGCGGCAGGCUUAACACAUGCAAGUCGAGGGGUAGAGGAAGCUUGCUUCCUUGAGACCGGCGCACGGGUGCGUAACGCGUAUGCAAUCUACCUUAUACAGGGGGAUAGCCCAGAGAAAUUUGGAUUAAUACCCCAUAGUAUAGUUGAAUGGCAUCAUUUGAUUAUUAAAGUUCCAACGGUAUAAGAUGAGCAUGCGUCCCAUUAGCUAGUUGGUGUGGUAAACGGCACACCAAGGCGACGAUGGGUAGGGGUCCUGAGAGGAGAUCCCCACACUGGUACUGAGACACGGACCAGACUCCUACGGGAGGCAGCAGUGAGGAAUAUUGGUCAAUGGGCGCAAGCCUGAACCAGCCAUGCCGCGUGCAGGAUGACGGUCCUAUGGAUUGUAAACU
rnacentral:rRNA from 1 species